CAGGGAUUUCCGAAUGAGGAAACUCACAUGGGUAACCCCAUGUAUCAUGCACUGAAUACAUAGGUGUAUGAGGGUAAACCCGGGGAACUGAAGCAUCUAAGUACCCGGAGGAAGAGAAAGAAAAAUCGAUUUCCUAAGUAGCGGCGAGCGAACGGGAAAGAGCCCAAACCAGAAACUUGUUUCUGGGGUUGUGGAUAGAUCAU
rnacentral:rRNA from 1 species